rnacentral:lncRNA from 1 species
CAAUACCUAAUACCCAUCAAGCUAAUCCUAGAGACCCUUCUAGACUCUUUUUGGGAACAAAAAAUAAAUAAAAAGACCCUAAGGACCUAAGAGCAAAAAAAGAGAAUACACACAAGAUAUAACCUAGACCCCUAAGAUACACAAUCGGUGGAAAAAAAAUACAACAAAAAAAGGGACUAGACUCUAAGACACAAAAAGGCGCUAGCAGCAAAAAAACCUAAAAAACCUAGGGAGAUGAGCGCCAUUUUCUCAGAAUAGAGCCGUUCCCAUCAUCGCUUCUUCUUCAGAGAACCAAAUACACGACUUCCCCCAUCGUUCUUUACCUUCUUCAGCAUCUUUGAACCUUGAACACCCAAAACAACACACACCCAAAAAAAAAAAAACCGUAGCUCACCCCAUUUUAGGGAUCACAUAGCACACUGAAAUUGAAAGGACUCACCAUGGCCUCAAUGUCAUGAAUCAUUAUAUAGGACACCAUGUAAAUCCUCCAUUGCCUAUUACAUCCAUCUAUGAAAGAAAACCCAUCUUCUUCACCGUUAGAGCCAUUCAAGAACACCACUCUUUUAUCCCCUCACCAUCAUGAAAUCCAUUUGAAAUAAUAGCUCGAAACAGCCCCGAAAAUCACACAAAAACAGUAGCUCCAAGAGUCGAGUUCGAGGCCGCGUUCGAGCUUCAUUCGUUGGCGUUUGUUUGAGGUUGCCGCCAAGUUUCUAUUUGUUGGCUCGAUCUUCAUAAAUAAAAGAAGCUGAGGUUUUAUUUCCAACUUUCCUCUGUUUUUUAUUCUUUGAUCUAAUAAUUAAUAUGUGGUAAUUAAGUGGUAUAAUUUGUUUAAUGUUCCUGUGAAUUAGUCUAAUUGUUUGGUGAGUGCUUUGCCAUAUUUGGAUGCUGAACAAUAAACAGUAACAUCUGAUUUUCUUUUAUUUUAAUGUUCAUUAAUGAUUGAUAAAAAUUUAUUGCAGCCCGUUAUUGUUACUGUGAAACACCGCUGCUGUUUUUUUAAGCAUUUUAGAAAGCUCAUUUUGAAACAUAGUAAUUAAUUUGUACGCCUUGCAUCUGCCCAGUAAUUCAAUGAUUGUCAAGAUGAUUUGUGGACUUGGAAUGCAAUUGUUGUCAAUUCCUCAUCUUUUAUUCUCUCUUCAAAAAUACCACAAAUAAUUCUAAUGAAAAGAUUUCUAUAUGUAAUUUAAUCAAUUAUAGAAUUCACUUCAUGUGUGUAACAAAAAGUAUUAUUUCAUCGUUUUACUUAAGAAUUUUCGCGCGGAUAUUUUACUAGUAGAUUCAUGUGAGGAAGGAAUAGUUUUAUUCAUAUUGUGGAUGAUUAGGUACAUUAUUAGUUCUACUGAUCUUUAAUGUUAAGAUCCAGUACGAACAUUGUCCUCUUAUUUUUGGGAUUAUUAUAUUCCUUUAACUGCUUAUGAAAAUAAAAGAAAAUGAAUUGUGAAAUUAUGUUGCCAGUAGUAUAUGAACUAGUUUUCUUUAGACACGAUUAAUAAUAAAUUAUCGUGGCCAUGGGUACGGUUCCCGUGGCAUGGUUACGAUAUGUAAUCCCCAAUCCGGGGGUAAAUUUCAUGUGAUCCGGUUCUAAUUUCCAACAAGGUUAAAUAGAACGUGUCGUGAAUCACGGGUGCAUUUCAUGUAGCGUGGCUUGCGAUGUGUUUUAAAUAACCUUGAAAUAAUUCCUUUAAUAAUUAAAAACGGUUUCAAAGUUAAAAAUGCACAUAGGCUUAAAAGUAUUUUAAAAUCAAAUAAAUAUGCCAAUAAUAACAGUUGAGCGACCGUGCUAGAACCACGGAACCCGGGAAUGCCUAACACCUCUUCCAGGUUAAUAGAAUUCCGUACCCAGAUUUCUGUGUUCACGGACUGUGAAACAGAGUCAAUUUUUCCUCGAUUCGGGAUUUUAAACUUGUGACUUGGGACACCAUAAAAUAUCCCAUGUGGUGACUCUGAAUUUUGAUAAAAUAAUCCUGUCUCGAUUGUCACUUAAAUUGGAAAAAACUCCCUUAUACCUCCUCUCGGUGGUAGGAAAAAAAGGAGGUGUGACAGGUCUGGCGACUCUGCUGGGGACAAGAACCUAGAAUCUCUGGUUCAGGGUUCAAGAAUUCGAGCUUAGAAUAAUUGUUAUAUUUGGCUUUAUUUAUUAUCUGAUUUUAUUUACAUGCUCGGGCCUAAUGUGCUAAAUGUUACUUUUUACCGCUUUGAUAUUGUUGAACUGUAUAUAAAUUGAUAUGAAACCCUCCUCUCUCUGAGUCUUCUAAAUCAUCUGAGAAGUGUUCACUUCGUGUGAUUUCUCGUUAGAGUCAUAUUCCAAUUUUAGAACGAGGUUCGGACAAGUUGCAAAGCCGGUAAAACUUCUGUAUUCCCAAUACGCUGCCCCCGGCUCGAGCUGUCCGCUCGGGUAAGCAAGGUCUAGAACAAAUAAACCCAGGUUUUUAAACCUAAAAUAACAUAGCCUCAUGCCAGAUCCCUAGUAGAAACUUUUGUUGCAUCACGUGCAUUUGACUUUGGGGACUCAACACAGGGGUUGGGUCCGUCUAGGACAUGUGUACCCAAAAUAACAAACCAUGCAUCUUGAUGCAUCCUACGUGCUACAUGUUGCAUUUCUUCAAGGGUAAAAGGAUCAUUUGGCGGACCAAUGAUAGUCGAGGGCAAAUGAAAAAGAACAAAGAGAAGAAAAAAAAGAGGGUAAAGUAUAAAAAUGAAGCAAGUGAGGCCCAAUUAUAAUUUUCUUUCACACUUUUUCAAGAAAAAACCAAAAAAAAUGAAAAAUCCAAAAAAGAGUUUGCAUUUUCCCCUUCAUUUUUUUUUUCAAAAAAUAUCAAUCAAAAGAAGAGGAAAAAUAAAAUUCAAAAAGAGUUUACAUGUUUCAUCGUUUUUCAAAAAAAAAAAAAGACAAAAAAUAUAUUUUCUCUGAAUUAGUCAUUUUUUUUUAAAUUCUCGCUCGUAUCCAAUCUGCCCGAACUAUGCAUACCUGAUUCUCGUCUUUCGGAGCGUGAUACCUAGACAACCCACAUAGGGUCCGAUCUUCCUAGUAAAUUUUAGGUUCUUGGCUCUGCGAGGUCUUAGCCAAAUUUUGCACUUCUAGCCACCUUUUGGCCAAAUAAGUCAUUUUGCAAAAAUAACCUCAAUCAUGUCUUGCAUUUGUCUAGUAGGGAGUGUUAUUGUCUCACAUAGUGUAGGUUUAAAGUUUUCUCAUACAGGUGAGGAUCUACUUAACGGCGUUUGAGUAUGAUAGGCACCCCGGGACCAUCCAGUCAGGAUCGCUUAGUUAGGAGUUGCUUAAGGAGAUUUUAUUUUUAUUUUUUAUGUUUUGAGUCUGUUUUUCUUUUUUAUGUUGUCUUUUACAUUCUAGUUUUGUACAAUAAUGUCGAGUCUUUUGUUAUUUUAUUUCCUAUUGAAAAAAAAGAUAUGGAAUAAAUCAAAAAUCUAAAAAAAGAAGAUAUUUUGCGUUUUUAUAUUUCCAUUAGAAUUUUCUUUAGAAAUACUACUCCUAGAAAUUGAAAAAAAAAAUCAUUUGAGGUGGUUUUCCUUUAUUGAAUUAAUAUAUAAAACUAAAAUAAAUAUUGCUUUUAUAUUUCCUUUGGUACAUUAAGACUAAAAAAAGAAAAAAAGAGAGAAUUUUCUUUUAGUACCUCUUUAAAAAAGUUUUCUUUAAGGUAUUAAUUCCUGUCACCACCCAAUUCCCGAACCCGGUCGUGAUGGCGCUUCUCGUGAAGAUAAGGCCAGCCAGACAAAAAUAGAACACCUCUUUUAAACAGUUAAAUAUCAGAAAUAGUACUAAAGCAUGAUAUAAUAUCCAUAAUUUUGCGGAAUUAACGAUAACAACAGUUAAAGCCAUCCCGACACAACCCAAACAGGGGUGUCACAAGUCAUGAGCAACUAAGAGAAAUCCUGAUACAGUCUACUAAUCACUAAACCCGAUACAAUAGUUCCAAGAACAUGAAAAUGAUAAUAUAAAGGAGGCACGGGGGCUGCGGACGCCAACAACGACCUCGUAAUCUCCGAAACACUGCCUAGACGGGAAGAUCAACACUUAGGAGCGGACUCUGCGAUGCCUGAAUCUGCACACACGGUACAGGGAGUAAUGUGAGUACUCCGACCCAGUGAGUAAUAAUCAUAAAUAAUGGAUGAAAUCAAGAAAACACGUAAAGGCACAAAACAGUUCUAUAUCAAGCAGUAAAAUCACUUAAAGUAGUAGAUCAGUGAAAAAGUCAAAAUGGAAUCCCUUUAAACCAUGUAAAACAGGUAAGUUAGCAGGUAAUUAACAAGUAGAAAUCCGCCAAUCGGGCACAAUAUCAAUCACUCAAAACAGUAUCAGCUCCUCGGGCUCACUCUUAUCACUUAGUGCUCAUUCUCAGCUCUCGAUCUAUAUAUCUCUCAUAAUAACAGAAAUCAGAAUAACCGUUGCGGCGUGUAGUCCCAUCCGUACAUCGCUGCGGCGUGCAGCCCGAUCCUUAUAGAUAGUCGACUGCGAUCACUGGGUGUGUGUAGACUCCGGAAGGGCUCCUACAGCCCAAGCGCUAUAUUGCUGUGGCAUGCAGCCCGAUCCAUAUAAGUAUUGCUGCGGCGUGCAGCCCGAUCCAUAACAUAUAUAAUAUCCUCACCAUUAGGUUCUCAACCCCUCUCAGUCAUUUACCUCACAUCCUCUCGGGCACAAUAAUAGAAGAUAAGGAUCUCAGCCCACAAAUUCCUCUCAUUUAGGAAUAGUAUGAUAAAAAUCAGCUUGAAUCGUUUAAAACAGUUAGAAACAUGACCAAGGAUAUGAUUUUUAACAAGUAUAGUGAGGAAAAUCAGUCAAUCCCCGAAGGGUUCAAAUAGUUGGCACGAAGCCCAAAUAUGGCAAUCAGCCCAAAUCAUGAUGAUAACAAAUAAGUUUCAGUCAAAUAUGCGGUAAAUUUCGUUUGCAUAGUCAAAAUCCCCUAUACAAGCAUUUUCUAUAAUUUUUCAUAAUUAUUAAAGCUCUAAAUUAAUUUCGUUUGCAUUUUUUAUCAUAUAAAUACCUAGUAAUUAUCCUUAAAUUAUUUUGUGAUGACUUAAUCAUACAAACUUAUUAUUUACACCAACAUGUAUGUUUUAUAAUAUUUUACUUUAUUUUCUAUAAUUGCAUUUUGCGUUUUUAUUCUAAUUACAUAUUUUUGCAAUAAUAACCUACAUUCAUGUAUAAUCACAUUAUUUGUGCCAAAAAGAUAUUUUUAUAUUUUUAUAAUGUUGAUUUAUUGUUUUUAAUCAUUUUAGCGCAUAAAUAAUAUUUUGUUUAUUUGUUUAAUAAGUAUUUUUAUAAAUUAUUUUGAUAAAUUUUGGGUAUUUAAACAAAAGCCCAAACACUCAAAUAUCUGACCCAAUUACCCUAAACCCAAACCAAACAACCCCCUACAAAAACCCGGUUGCAACUCGCUUUUAAACGACCCCCCGUUAUAUUUUUUAAUCCCCGUUAUUGAUCUCUCAAGAUCAACGGCCCUCGUUCACUCUCCUUUUUAAAUUAACCUAACCUAGAACCCUACCCAUUUCGCCUUAAUUUGCCGCCCCUAAACGCUCAACUCUCCUAUUCUCUCUUCUGAAGAACCCUAGCCACCUCCCCCUAAAUCCCUCUCCUAAUCUCAUUGAUAAUGGGAUUCAACUACUAUUCUCUUGCCAUAUUUGAAUUCUGUUGGUAUUAGUUGUCCGUUUGUGGUGUUACCUAGGUGCUAGCCUAAACAUGGCAAGAAAUAUCUUCCGAAAUCGAACCAAAGUAGUUCGAAUCUUUGAUUCUGAGCACUAUUUCGUCUAUUCACGUUCAAUAUUAUAUUGUGUGAGUUCGAUUUGUUUGGAUUCUGUUGAUUUACGCUUUUCCUAAAAAACUAGGGUUUACUGAUUUUCUCUCUUAAGUUGAUUUCAAAUCGAUUUGCAUGUUUCUUCUCCUUUUUUGUUGCUUAAUUAUUUUGUUUCCUUAUUUGUUUGCUUGAUUUUGACUGCUAUAUAAACCCUUCCCCCAUUUCCUUUUGGACAGACUUUUAAUCACUACAUUUCCAUUACAAAAAGCUAAUAAUCUUCACUUUGUUGCUCGCUUAUUCUCUUGUUCAACCUUGGCUCUUGGCCGGGUGAAAGCCAAGGCCACGGGAAUUCCUAUUUUUUCGUCUUUACUUGGAUGUGAGCACUGCCUUGGGUUCCUCUAAGGUUCUGGGUUAUACUACUUUGUUGACGUUCAAAGUGAUUCUGUUUUUUUCUUGUUUGUCUACUUGUCAAUCAGUAACUGGUGAGUUCUUUAACCUUUGCAAUGUUCAUUCUCUUAUGUUCCUGUUUAGCAUAUUCAUGCCUCUAAAAUUGUAUAACCUAAUGUGUUUCUAGACUAUCUCUAUAUGAAACUCUGCUUAUAAUAUGAACCUCUCUAGCAUUUGUUCAUGUCUAAAUUGCGAGUUCUAAAAUGUGUUUGUGUUUAACUUGAGCAAGCUAUACUUUUUGAAGUUCGUCUAGCUUAAUGUAUUGGUACUUUGAGUGUUUACAUUGGUUAUAUCACAUCGAUUUGUUUCCUGCCUUGUCCAGGAUUUCUAUAUUGAUUGAUUUGUAUUUGUGAUAUGCCCCAAUCCAUGUUAAAACCCUUAUUCUAACUAUGAUUUUCUCGAAUGAUCAUUUUAUCACUUAGUAUAUCCUUACCCUGCCCAACUAUGUACUCCCUAGCAACUAGUUGGAACCUUUUCGAAUAGCUUCUUAGCUUGUGUUCCCUAUAAUAUUUAAUUUUUUUUCCCUUAUUAGUGUGAGUUGCACUAUUCAACCGUUGGUGUUUAGCAUAAUUUGACCUUUAGGCUUGAACCUGUUGAGUUAUUGUUCUGUUGUUUGUCUUAUUUGGUAUAAUUCCUUGCUUAUUAAUUUCGUAAUCCCAGAAGCCAUAAUUCCUCUUGCUAUCUUACAAAUGUUCCUUGCCUCAAUGUGCUAAGUGUGGACUUAUGAUAUUAGCCUGUCUUUUGAGUUUGCUUACCCUCUCUGUGGAUAUGUUUAUUGUGUGAUCACAUUUGCAAUGCAUAUUUCUAAAAAUCUAAAUGCACUUCCUCAAAUUGUGCCAUUUGACUACUAUUUUCACUCUUAUUGGUUACUUACCAUAUUCUGAACCUAUAAUUCUUGGUCGGCUGAAAGCCAAGACCACUAAAGCUUUCUCUAUUAACCUCCCUAGUGUGAGCACUGCUCAUGGUCCAUCUUGAGACCCUUGUGAACUCUAACACACUAGGGCCUGAGGUUCUUUGGAAAUUUUCCUUACUACUUAGUGUUGUCCCUCAUUCUACCUAUUGAAUGUACAAAGUGACUUGUGUAAGUGAUUGUUUUCCGGAUCCUUUGAUCAAAUCAUGAUUGUUGGGUUUGAUUUGAGUACUCCUAUGGUUUCUGUGCUAUUUUGAGAUUUGUGUGUGCUAAAUGGUGGAGAAAGAGCUCAUUUGAAGGCUUGGCAGCGCUGGGUAUCUUUUGGGCCUGUCUUGGGCCUACUGUUAUUUCUUGUACUACUUUGUAAUUUAUUCAUUAUUGGGUCUGUAAUAACAAUUGGGGUGAUAGUGAAAUUGGAAAGUGUGUAUUUCCUAUUACUUGCAUAAAAAAAGGGUAGAAAACAUGUGUAUAAGGUAAAAUCGAAGGGUCUAAUUCCUUGUCAUCGAGGCACCUCAGAAGAUCAUCUCGAGGCCUCGAGGCUACAAGGCUAUGGUCGAGUCUCCUCCCUCGAGGUUCGUCGAUGACCGACCUUGGGAUAAUGUUUACCACGGUUAUGGUAUAGAUGGGGAGUUCCCAAGGUACACGGCUAGGACUGACAGAGCCUAGUGGACUACCCUAACCCUAAAUCAGGGUGUUAUCUAGCUGUCUCAUCUCCACUUGUUUAUCAUUAAUGUAUUUUGUUCUAUGUUGGGAUUCCCCUCCUAUAUAAAGGGGAUCUUUGCCAUUUUGUAAACCUCUGUUUCUUAGUUGCUCCACAUGAAAUAUAAAAGAACAUUCUCUUUGCUCUCUAACACAUUGUUUGAUAUUAUUGCUCCCAUUUAUUGUCUUCAUUAUUGUUUUCAUUAUUGUUCUUCAUUUAUUGCUUAUCAUUGACCAUAGAGAGCCUUUAUUGAUUUUAUUAUAAUUGUUCGCCAUACUUCGAUCACCUUCGAUAGCUCACAACCGACCUCCGGAAUCGACCUCAAGUCCCCCGAAUUGACAAGCUCGAUGCCCCGAUUAUUAACCUAUCAAUUUUAUUAUCACCUUACUCCUUACUCUUAUCUCGUUUCUAAACCUCACACAUAGCAUCAACUGCUAACAAACUAGCAUAAUAAUAGAUCACGUAUUUUUAGAUUCCCAUAAUAAAAUUUAAUUGUUAUUAUCACUUUCACGGUAAACAACAUGUUUAUAGGAUUUGUGUGAUCUAUUUGCUAUCCGACCUGUUAAAUGUGAAUCUCUUUGUGCACUAUGAGAAAUCAUGUCAUUAGGGAAUCACACACUCACAUAAUUAGUAUGUUGUCAAUGCAUAAGUAUCUAUAUAUUCUUGUGUCUACUGCUUUGUGUUGCUAGACAUCAUGCCUAUAGAAAAUAAUUGCUAAUGACUUCUCCUUAGUCUGCUCAAUAGAUAUCAUGCCUAUAGGAUUUUUAACUAAUUAAUUCGCUAUUGCAAUCUCAUCGUCCAUCUAGAAAGCUUGCUUAUAGGAGCCAAAUGUAUAAAAUCAGUUCCAACUGUCAAUUUUUAGAAAGCAUGCAUAUAGGAGCUAAUUAUAUAAAAUCAGUUCUAAUUUCCAAGUUUUAGAAAUCAUGCCUAUAGGACAUCACUACUCGUUUUUCAAACGCUGUUUUAUUGUUCAUCCACGCGAUUAUUAGGAAGCAUAAUAAUUUUGAGCACUUCUAAUGAGUUUCAUUGUUCCUUAUUGUAUAAAUCACAUAGAGAUCAUGCCUGUAGAUUUGUCAAUUGAUAAUCUGUAAUAAGUGGCUUAGCAGCGCUUGGCACUUGCCAAUAGGUAAGUUAGAAAUCCUAGGUCUAAAAAGGCUUGCGCAUCUGAAUCAGAUCAUCUAGUAACCAUGCCUAUAGAGUUUAACAACUGCAAUCCCUUUAAUUCUGAAACUACCUAAUGCCAAAUGUAAAAUCUAUUUGCGUGCAUUUGUUUGCCCAAUUGCGAAGGUUAAUGUGAGACUUUAAUUGGAUUUAAUUGCAGUCCUAUUUGUUUUGAUUUGUUGCCUAGUUUUAACAUUUCUAAGCAGCCUAAGUCAAGUCUAGAACCACCCAAAAAUGAGGUCCAAAUACCACCUGGACCAUAGGCGUGGGAUGAGUAGUGCACGCAUAAGGCACGAUUUAGAAUCAACUAGUGUGCUUUAGAUAAUAACAUAAAGAUAGCAAUCGGGUAGCAGGAGAUGAUAGUUUGUGCCUGCUAAAUAAUACGAGUAACACCCAUCUUGAGGGAGUUACGAACUAUUUGCACGGGGUGAUCCUUGUGAGCACGUGAUUUUUGCCCUAUAUGAAUUACUCCUAUAGAAUCCCAAAGAAAUAGAUUUUUCUUUUUAAUUAUUUGCCAUUUAGGAAUUUUUGUAGAAUUUUCUUAAUUAUUUUUAUUUUUAUGUGCAUGUUUAAUUUUAUUUAAAUCAUGAAAAUACAAAAAAUACUCUGCAUUUACAUCUAGGAUUUAUUUUUACAUUUUUGGUUAAUUAGUAAAUUAGUUGUUUUAUAAAAAUGAAAAAAUCACAAAAAAUGUCUUACUUUGCAUUUUAACUUUUUAAUUUUAAAUUUUAUGUUCUUCUUUUAAUUUAGGAGUUAAUUAAUUUUUGUAAAUACUAUGGCGAGUAAUUAGUUUAAUUUGGUAGGUUAAUUUAGUUUAAGAGUUAAUUUAGGUUUUAAUUUUAAUUUUAAAAGAAAAGGAAAUUUAAAAAUUGAAAAGAAAAAGGAAAGAAAAUGAAGAAAGCUGUUGAGUUUUGGGCCAAAUUGGCGUAGCCCAGGUAAAUUCCCCCCCCCCCAACCCGUCCAAAAUCUGGCCCAAACUCCACCCCAUACACGGUCCAAAUCCCUGCCUAACCAAACGACUCCGUUUUUGACCCCUCUCAUCCGAGCCGUUGAUUUCAUUUAAUAUAACGGACUGGAACUCCUCACCCUACCAUAAUAUAUAUGUCCGAACAACCCCUUACCCCCCAGUUCCAAACGGUUCCAUUCUCACCUUCUCAGAUUUAGAACCAAACCCUAGCGCCUCUCUAACAUCCCUCACCCUCUCUGGUGGCGGCGCCACCCCAAACCGCCUCCAAAAUUACACCCCAUAACCCCUGGCCUCUCCUCUUCCCAAAACCCGAAACAAUUUCCCUUGAAUCCCUCUACAUCUGCUCGAAUUUUGAAUCUAAUGUCAAACCCUAAUUUGCUUCCUUUUCAGAAUUUAAAGUGUUAUUUUAGGGUUUGAUUUGAGUUGAAAUUUAUGCUGAUCAAUUGUUCUUGAUAAGAACAAUUGAUUAUAUUGAGUUUAGCUCAUUUCAAGCCCCAUCGAAAACCCAACAAAGCGGUCAAACCAGUAACCAAGUUCAUGCGUCAGUACCACGUCCAGGAUCUUAGGAAAGGGGAAGCUCAAAUGAUAUCUAAUGGGAUGGGCAUGCUCCCCACUGUCUCGUACGGCUCUUCCUAAGAACUUGAAGCCCCCUCUCUCUAAAUAGAAAAAAAUGCAUUUACAAGACAAAAAAGACUUUUUCAAAAAGCCUUCGCCCUCCUAUUCAACGGGGCUAUUAGAGAAGCAGCUUCGUUCCUAAAAGAAGAAGGUGGACCCCCUCUCCGUCGAAAGAAAUGAGAUUAUCGCAGAUACACACAUUAAAAAUAUUAACCAAAUUUGCCCGACGUAGAGGCAAUCAAGCUGAGGAACGAAGCUUCGUGUUUGUUUUUCUUCAAACCCCCAAUCCGCUCUCGCUCGCCGCUACUAACGGGGUCUCGGUUGAUUUCCCUUCCUUUAGCUACUAAGAUGUUUCAGUUCGCUAAGUUUUCUACAUUGAAGAAAGAAUCGAAUAUUCAUUGAUCNNNNNNNNNNNNNNNNNNNNNNNNNGAUUCUGAUGGCUUGGCUUCCAUUUGAACUGAUUUCAAUAAUCCUUUUAGUUGCUUUAAUAGGUGCAAUUGCUGUAGCUCGUCAAUAAAAAAUUUCUAUUAAAACUUGGAAUAACAACAAUUCAUCAAAGAAAAAAGAGAAGGAAAGCAAAAGAGACAGAGUCCAAACGCUUGAAGCUCAAUCUCUCCCCCGGAUGAACCAUAUAGCCAAGGACUCCUUACAAGCGUUGUUUCUAUCUACUAUUAUCUAAAAAUAAUAAAGUUAUUAAUGACUGGACGAAACUGGCGGAGCGGCAUACCGGAAGAAAUUGGAAGAUCGACGACGGAAAGCUGCACAGGAAAGGCCCAAAGCCAAUCCCAGGGAACAGUGAAGCUUCAUAGGGUCUUUCUGUCCAGGUGCAGGUAGUCCGCAGGGCUAGUGACUGGAUCACCUAAAGGAGGUGAUCCAGCCGCACCUUCCAGUACGGCUACCUUGUUACGACUUCACUCCAGUGCAGUUCCUUCUUGAGCCUUUUCUUUUUGACUCCUACCGAAGCAAGCCUCUCAAGUGCUGACCUUUCUUCCCACCUUUGAGCGAAGCAAGCCUCUCAAGUGCUGACUAGUACGCUGUCGGAGUGAGACCGGGGUGGCAGAGGUCCAGGAUUCGAGUCUUGCCGCCACUUAUUAACAGUGGAGGUAGGAGAUCCAGUUAACGAAAAGGCUAGGCUGCAGCUAUUCAAGCAUCUCAAAGUCUUGAAUUCCCCCUGAAAGCGAGAACGCACUAUAUGCCUUUAAAAUAAAAAGAAGGCUGGAAAAAAGAGAGAGCUCCUUUCUUUUCUAGCUUUGGCGGGAGGAAUGAAAAUCCUAUCCUAUACGAAGGCCUAUAUACAAACACGAGGGUUGCGCUCGUUGCGGGACUUAACCCAACACCUUACGGCACGAGCUGACGACAGCCAUUGGGGUUCGCGUUGGUGGAGGAACUGGAUCGGAAGACGAUUCUAUCCAAUCACAACCUCGCCAAGUCUCUAAUCAGGGGCUCCAUCAUGUUAGCCAAUACGAAGAGUGGCUGUUCUGUUAAUAGAGUAUAUCACAGCUAAUGCACUUCACAUCCGAUUCUUUCUGUUUUUUUUUUCAAACAAAAAGUUAAAAUACGAAAAAAAAAUCAGAAUGAAAAGCGUCCAUUGUCUAAUGGAUAGGACAGAGGUCUUCUAAACCUUUGGUAUAGGUUCAAAUCCUAUUGGACCAUUUUUGGAUCACUUUUUUCGGGGUUAAUAUGACCUUCUUUCCUAUGUCUUGCAUUGUUGGUUCAUGCAUGAACUGUAGAUUUCACCGUUAUUUCUUCAUUUAUCUGGUGAGUCGAUUGUUUUCCCAUUUUGAUUAAUCCAUUAAUUUAAGUGUGUUCAUUUGAGAGUCCUUCUUGUUCUAAUCUUCUAAUUAGGUUUUGGUUCGAUUUUUAAUCUGGUUUAAUUCUAGUUUAUUUAGUUUAGCCUAAUAAAUUGUUUAUUCAGUCAUGUUUUGAUUUUGAAAUCAUGUAAUGUUGGAUUUGCUUCCUUUUCUUCUUUUCGUGAACCACUAAAGUUGAUUUUGAUUUGGGUCAUUUCGUUUGAAUGGGCUUGGGGGUCAUCUCUGGCCCGGUUUCAAGUGAAGCCCGGUCACUUUGGGUUGGUUUUGGGUACUGGUUAAUUGGACCCAUGAGCCGUUGUUGCCUGAAUGUAAAUAACAGCGUUUUAAAGGGUACUUAGGGCAUUUUUAUUAGAGGAAUCUUUCACAACUACCUGGGAAACUUCCAUGAAGUUGGGGAAAGGGGCUGGUUUGGCAAACAGGUUUAAAACUUGGGGUUUGAAAUAAAAGAGAUAAAUCAAAGAAGGGGUAAUUGGUAAAACCUGAAACCCAUUCUGCUGCCCUAGAGGUCUUCUAUAAGAGGCCUGUUUUCUUUCUUUUCAAGGAGGAAUGGAGAGAAUACAAGAUAAAACCUUAGAAACGGCUGAAAACGUGUUAUGAAAAUAUAGAAGUUUAUGCACCAUUCUGAGGUCAAAUUGUUGGAAUUGGGUUUUCAAUCUGACUUUUAGCAGUAACCAAAGAGUUUGCACAACUUUUUUCUGAUUCUACUACUGCUGCUAAUUCCUCAUUCUCCUUAUUUUUCUUUAACUUCCAGGUAUCUUUUGGACUAUGGAUAACACAUGAAGUGUAACAUUGAAUUUGAAUGUGGAAAUAUGAUGAACACAACCUGUUUCUUGUUGAAUUUUACUUUCUAUAUUCUUCACUUUCAUUCACAUCCUGUACUAUUUUAAUUUUAGAUGCAUUGUUGUUAGUCUUUUCAUGUUAUAGAUAUGGUGCCAUAUUGUUAAGUUAAAAUUUUAGUUCCUCGGUGUCUCUUAUUAGUUGUUAGUUUGGUUUAAACUUGUCAUGGAUAGGGAAAAUGUUCUAGGCUAUUACACUAAGGGUCGAUCAAUAUGC